CUGAACUUAACAUAUAUAAGACAAAAUAAUUCUCAACUAUUUAGUAAAAGAAAAGAAAAUCAAGGAAAAGAGAGUUUAACACCCUGAAUUUGGUGGAUAUCAGAGAAGAAAUUUUAUUCCCCUAAAUUCAGGGUGUUACACGAGUUCAUUGAAACCAGUCAUCUGUCCCAUGAAUUCAUACAAGCCGCUUGCCUGAAAUUUAGCAAGCAAGCCCUCCAUGACUGUCUGACCCUCCAUAUAAUCCCAGUCAAUCACCUGAUGCUUAUGAAACUUGGUGUCAUGAGAGUUCCAUAGAAAACAUCAAACUGCAGCUGAGUAUGAAAAUAUUGAAUAUUUAUGUCACAUGAAAGAGAAAACUGGUCAACAGUCCUUCUAGAGGAAUAUUCAGCCAUAGAAAACCUCAUCUUAGAUGAGUGUGUGGCGCAUCUUCAGCAUCCAAAGAGACACUGCCCCUAGCGGAUGAUUGGGACUCGGAAUCGGUGACAGGGUUAUAAUCUGUGUCAUCCGCACGACAACGCUUGGACAAAAAAAUGCCCUGCUAACUUCUUUUUCAGACCAACGAAACCACAGUAAUAAAAUAUAAAAUAAUCCCAACAAUCAGAAGACAAUAACUUGAAAACAUGUGCAAGAUGGAUAAGCUGAUCUGCUAGAAUGCGAACAGUCCACGCUAGAGGGACGAACGGUCCAUGCACCCACGACCGGAUGGUGCGCGCCACCUAGGAGGAAGGUCCGCGACCGUCCAGGACGACUUUUGAAACCCAAGACGCCCAAUUCAUGGAGUCACAAAAUUGACAAAGGUAUCCAUCAAAACCCAUUCAAAUUUUUGCACCAUAUUCUCAGUAAGUAACACAAGCAAUUCCACCAAUCAAAUCCAUAAUUUCACUGCCCAAUUUCAGAUCAGAGAAGAAAUCCUAGAAAUUCCCAAACUUGAGUAAAUUGAAUAAAUUUUGUGGGAUUUUGAAAUACCGAGAUGAAGACAUGUCGAUUGAAUCUCAGGAGAUCUCCCGAACAGUCCAUGCGCAAUUUCGAUCCACCAUCCGCUCAAAAACGACAAGAUUCACUUUUAGCUUGUGGAGUAUGAGAGAGGAAGGACAAGCUGGAGAGAAUGACCCCCUUUUCUGCCUCUGCCUGAGAUAGUUGCCUGUCGCGGACGGUCCAUGAGGGGGCUCCGGACGGUCCACGUCCUGGAAACUUUGGACAAUCUGUCCUGUCG
rnacentral:lncRNA from 1 species